GUCUGAAGUUAUUUAUGUUGUUUGAUAAACCUUUUAACUUACAUAUAUUCAUAGUGGAUAUCCAAAUAUUAUUUUAACGUUAUUAAAAUAAAGAAUUCUGAAAAAGCUGCGUAUUUAUACUUAUAUAUUUUUCAAUUUGUAUGAGAAAUUAAUCAUGUGAAGCCGGAGGCUGGACGAAAAUUGAUUUUUAAUGGUAACCCUAAUAUGGGAGAAUAAAAAAAGAAAAACAUACAGAGUGUAAAGUACAAGAAGUGCAUAAUUAAUUAACAAAAAAAAGUAUCUAUAUUUCAUCUAGGA